UACGGGGGGGGGCAAGCGUUGUUCGGAAUUACUGGGCGUAAAGGCUCGUAGGUGGCCAACUAAGUCAGACGUGAAAUCCCUCGGCUUAACCGGGGAACUGCGUCUGAUACUGGAUGGCUUGAGUUUGGGAGAGGGAUGCGGAAUUCCAGGUGUAGCGGUGAAAUGCGUAGAUAUCUGGAGGAACACCGGUGGCGAAGGCGGCAUCCUGGACCAAUAUUGACGCUGAGGAGCGAAAGCGUGGGGGAGCGAACAGG
rnacentral:rRNA from 1 species